GUGGACCCGGCCAGCCCCACCUGGAAGACUAGUGAUUUUGUUGUUGUCUCACUGUGCGCUCAACAACAAGUCCCAGUCUACCGCAUGGUGCUGGCUACCGCA
ensembl:miRNA